rnacentral:rRNA from 1 species
AGAGUUUGAUCAUGGCUCAGGAUGAACGCUAGCUACAGGCUUAACACAUGCAAGUCGAGGGGAAACGACAUCGAAAGCUUGCUUUUGAUGGGCGUCGACCGGCGCACGGGUGAGUAACGCGUAUCCAACCUGCCCACCACUUGGGGAUAACCUUGCGAAAGUAAGACUAAUACCCAAUGAUAUCUCUAGAAGGCAUCUGAAAGAGAUUAAAGAUUUAUCGGUGAUGGAUGGGGAUGCGUCUGAUUAGCUUGUUGGCGGGGUAACCGGCCCACCAAGGCAACGAUCAGUAGGGGUUCUGAGAGGAAGGUCCCCCACAUUGGAACUGAGACACGGUCCAACUCCGACGGAGGCAGCA